rnacentral:lncRNA from 1 species
AUGCAAGGAAUGUUUUUCUUCGGAUUCUACCGAGGCGCACGGGCCAUGGGGAUCCUGUCUGCGGUGACAGCCCUAACAUUUGCCAGAGCCCUGGACGCUGCUGCAGAAAUGGCAUUGCCCACCCGGAAAGUGAGAAGGACACCAGAUGUCUACAUGCAGAAGAAAAAAAUCAUUUGGAGUAGAAAAGCCCACCCCUUCCCCACACCCGAUGCGUGGUAGGUAU